UCGACGGUUCGGCCUUAUCUCUAAGCUAGCUCUAACCUCUCAGUCAGUCAUCUCACUCCCUCAGCCACUCAGUCUCAGUCUUCCUAUUCGUAAUCUCGAACCGCUGAACCGCCGACCCACAGCUUUGCUUCGACCCACUGGAUUUUAGUAUUUUACUCUUAAUAUGGCCACUGAUGAUUCGAGUCAUUUGACAAUGGAGAAAGAAAUUGUUCCAGCUUCUGAAAAAGAAGGAAAAGAUGGGUUUUAGUUUAGGAUUCUUGGUCGGCAUCUUUGGAGUUCUAAUUCUCUCUCAUGCCGCUUAAUCAACUGUUCAGUGCUGGUCUUUAAUCCUAUAAUCAAGAAGCUGAGAAAACCAAGACUUUUGCUACUCCCAAAGACAGAGGUUUGGACUGGAAACAAAGAGGAAAGUUGGGGAUUGAACAUUACGUAUAUUGAGGGAGUCACUACUAAAAAAAAUUGCAAUUGCUUCGCCUUUUUACUUCGGCAACAGUUGCCGUCGCAAUUGAGACCCUAUUGCUACGGAAAAUCUUCCGUCGCGAUUAAACUUUAUCAUUUGCGACGGAAAAUGUUUGCCGUAGUAACUCUGCAAUCAAUUGCGACGAACUUUUCUCGUACGGUCGUAAACUUUUCUCUUACUCUUGGCGCUAACCCAAUUAUUUUCCCCCUGUUUUUACUUUUGGCCAAAGUUCCCACCAACAAUACAGCCCUAAUUCUUUAUCCCUCUUUUUCCCAAACAACACCUCUCUCUCUCCCCCUCCCUCCCCAAGCUUUGUAGCUCCUCGAACUGGAACUUACCGCAGAGAUCGACGAGGUCCGCACCGUAACCUACCGCCAACAGUGACGAGCUCCUCCGUCGACGUUAACGAGGUCUGCGCGCCGGAACAUACCACCGAGACUGACGAGCUCCUCCUUUCCAUCGAAUAGCUCCUCCUUCACCAAAUAAACUGUAACAACAGCUCUCUCACACCCCAGACACAACAAAUCCAGAUCAAUAUCUCUAGGAAUCUAAGGUAAAUCCCUUUGUUCUUUCCAUUUGUCUCUUGUUGAAUAUUAAUAUUUAUAGUCUUAGUUUAGUUUGAGAUUGGGCUCUGUUAAUUCAAUUGGUUGUAUAUGAGAGGUCAAUAUUUAGAUUGUGAGUUCAAUUUUGAUAUGAAACUAAUUGGGCACAAAUUCAAAUUUGAGCACCAGUGGCCAAUCCUCCUGGAUUAUCUUCAUGUUUAGUAAAUAGAUGGGUAUCUUUCUCUUAGACAUCGAUACAUUGACGAGUUUGAGGUUGAGCUUGAUUUGAUGGGGUCAGAACUUGACCUAUACAUUUGGGGUUUCUUCUUGCAUGCAACUUAAAUUAAUGAUGCAUCAGAUCGUAAAUUUAAGUGUUCUUCUGGAUUUUAUAGGGCUACUGUAUACUAAUGGUAUCUAAAUUAACUAAAGGUCAGCAGUAGACUAAAAUAAUAGAGCUCAGAAUAACUAAAUAAACUUCUUUUGCAAGUAUGCGUGCAGAUUGAACGAGGUCUCAUAGAAUAACCUAGUUGCUCAUUGUUAGAUAGAUAUAUGAUUGAAAGUUAAAGUGCCAUUUACAAGUGUUGACUGAAUUAUUUUGUGAGGAAGGCUGUAAUCUUCUGUUCAUAUUUUGCAGGACCAGCCCAGAACUUCUGCUAAAUCCUGUGAGAACCAUCUUUACAUAGUAAAAAAACAUAGUUUUCUUAUACCACCCUUCCUACUUUAAUGGUUAUGUUUGCAAAAGAUGGUUUUUUUUUUUUUCAUAUAUGUGGUUUCUACUGCCUUGUCUUGUGCAAGGACUGACAUUCUUUUUUCUUUCCCACACUUAAUCUAAAUAAGCAUAUGUAAACUUUGUUGUAUCAGUUUCAAAGUUUGGCAAAGAUAGUUCCUAUUCGUGCCUAAGCUUUAUUAGCAAUAUCUUUACCAUUUUUAGACAAAUUCUCUGAGUAGGGAUGAAGAAUUUCAGAGUUAAACAGGCAUAUAAAAGGUGGAAGUUAGAGCUAAUAAAGUGGAAACAUCCUGAGCAGUUCCUCUCCAUUUUUGUUUUAAUAUUGUUCUUGUGGAAACAUACUUUUGAGUAUUCAUGCCAUAUAGUAGGAACAGCUUUUUUUGCUAGGUUCCGAAAUGUAGUCUUCACCUGAAAAGUUAAUCUAUAGACUUCAUAGUUUAAGCUACAGCUUACAGGAAUUUAAAAUUGUCAGUGAACACAUAAAACUCGGAAAUUCUGGAAAAAGAAUUUUGUUACCUAGCUUGUUAAGGUUGUUUCUCCAGGAGUUUGACAUCAGUCUUUUGUUCAUGGAAUUGCUAUUACAGGUUUUGAUAUGUCAAAAUGAGGCUGAAAAAUGCUUAAUUGAGACAUCUAUUAGUUCCCUUCGUAUAAGCCUCAAGGUGAGUAUCCAUAUUUGAAUGGUUUUUAGUAAUGUAAGUGAGAGUUGGAACUAUGGCUUUCUGAGUUUGAAAUUAUUUAAAUAAAUCACUACUUUUGGUUGGAUUUUUUUAUUUCUUUCGUCUGCUCGUCUGAACAACCUAAAAACAACUGUAUCUUUCCACUCAGUUGUUAUAGACCUUUCUCAAUAAACCUGUUUUAUAGAGGGUUUAUAUUGGGGACAUCUAUAUGUACUUAUGCUUUCUGUGAACCUUAUUGGUGGAUAAUUUCUGAAAUUUCUAUUCACAUUUGAUCCAACUAAUUGGAACAUUACUAUUUUCAGUCUUCAAAUAAAGUUUAAUAUGUGAAUGAUCGAUGAAGUGGUCAAAAAUAGUAAAGGUUAUAUAGUGAUAUGUAAAGUUCUAGCAAAAUAAUACACAGAACACACUAUUUCCAAUUAUUAAACAAUGUAGUUAAGGGAAGGGGCAGAAAGUGCACUCAAUCUGACAACAAUUCCAUCUUCUCAUUCAUGGAAUCAACAAGUUUUUAGUGUUAGUUUCCUUUAAGUGGAAACUUUGAUUAGAGACUUGGAAUAUCAAUUUUUCUGCAGCCUUAUGUUUACAGUUUAUUCCUCCUUUUAGAGAGGUUCUAUAGUGUAAUAUAGUAUCCUUUGUAUACCAGAACCGUGUGGUAGGUUUCUUGUUUAUGGAGGCAAGGUCCCAACUCUAUUGGAUGUAGAUUAGGUACAUUAGUUUAACGGUUCAUGAUCAUUGAAAACGAUGUCUUUACAUUGCUGUACUUGGAACUUUGCAUUCUUUUAAGUUACUACUUCUAUUUAAUGUAGGCAUAUAACAUUACAUUAUCUUGCAUUAUACAGGAAUAAGUCCUCUGAUGUGCGAACUCUUUCUAAGAGAAAGAUACAUUGAUUUCUAGAUUGAUGUAUUAUAAUCUGCCAUAUGGCUAGUUGGUUCAUGCUUACUCGAUCACAUUAGCAUCUGCCAUAAUACUAGCAGGCCUAAAGAUUGGGAGAAAGUCCCUGAUCCUAAGAAGUAUUUUGUCCAAUUUUUUGGAACAGAAGAGAUCAGAGAACACCAUCCAUUAGUUGAAAAGGCAGCUCAUUAGCAAGUCAGUAGUGAAGAAUCUGGAGUUGAUUUUGGCAAUCCAAAGCCAAGAGCUUGAUAUUAGCAGAUAAUGAGUCUGCCAAAGCAUCAAGACAACAGCUUAAAGAAGCUAGAAAAAAAAAGCUCAAGUUUCCUAGGCAUAAGCUAGCAUACAGUUACUUUGGUGCUGCAAUUCUUUAUCUUCCUGAACUAGUACAUAGGUGCCACAAUCUUUGUGAAGAAAUUCUAUUCAAUGUGCCACGAUGGGCUUUAGUUAUUUAUUUCGCUAAUAUGAGGUUGUAAUUGUUGAUUGGUUUAGUUAUAAUGGAUAUUUGUAGUUUAACUUUAGAUGCAUGUAUAAUAGUUUUCAUUUUUGCAUGUUCUUAGAAUGAAAAUAUGGUGCAAUUUUCACCAUAUUUUUUUUUUAAAAAAAAAUUCGUUUUUUGCGACGGCAAGGUUACCGUCGCAAAUACCUCCACAUGGAUUAUCCUAAAACAGACAUUGCGACGGAAGUCACCGUAGCAAAUGGGCCGUCGCAAAACAAUAAAUUUGCAACGGCAAGAGAAAACCGUCGCAAAAAAGUAUUUGCGACGGCAAAUUGCCGUAGCAAUUGGAUUUUGUGACGCCACCUAUUGCAACGCCUGUCUUGCCGUCGCAAAAACCUCAAUUUACCGUCGCGAAAAGUUUUUGCCGUCGCAAAAGCUCAAUUUGCCGUCGCAAAAUAGGCGUCGCAAAAGCAAUUGUU